rnacentral:rRNA from 1 species
UACGUAGGGUGCGAGCGUUGUCCGGAAUUAUUGGGCGUAAAGAGCUCGUAGGCGGUUUGUCGCGUCGACUGUGAAAACCCGAGGCUUAACCUCGGGCCUGCAGUCGAUGCGGGCAGACUAGAGUUCGGUAGGGGAGACUGGAAUUCCUGGUGUAGCGGUGAAAUGCGCAGAUAUCAGGAGGAACACCGGUGGCGAAGGCGGGUCUCUGGGCCGAUACUGACGCUGAGGAGCGAAAGCGUGGGGAGCGAACAGG